CUUGGCAGGUGUGUGCGUGUAUGUGUGUGUGUGUAUAAUACAGAAACCAACGAAAUCCACCGGGGAUUGGAAGAGGCAUCAUGCAUGAAAUAAUUUGGUGAGAUGCCAUGAUUUGGAUUGGCUCCUAUUUUGAACCUUUGGUUUGAGGAAGUGCCAAAAUAGUUGCAAUUAAACAACUUCUGCAGAUUUUUAUCUUCUAAGUCCUUGUAAUAUGUGCUCUAGCUGGUA
rnacentral:lncRNA from 1 species